UGCUUUUGUUGUUGUUUAGUCGUUUAGUCGUGUCCAACUCUUCGUGACCCCCUGGACCAGAGCACGCCAGGCACUCCUGUCUUCCACUGCCUCCCGCAGUUUGGUCAAACUCAUGCUGGUAGCUUCGAGAACACUGUCCCACCAUCUCGUCCUCUGUCGUCCCCUUCUCCUUGCGCCCUCCAUCUUUCCCAACAUCAGGGUCUUUUCCAGGGAGUCUUCUCUUCUCCUGAGGUGGCCAAAGUCUUGGAGCCUCAGCUUCAGGAUCUGCCCUUCCAGUGAGCA
rnacentral:lncRNA from 1 species